GUAGUCAUAUGCUUGUCUCAAAGAUUAAGCCAUGCAUGUCUAAGUAUAAAUAAAUUUAUAUUGUGAAACUGCGAAUGGCUCAUUAAAUCAGUUAUGAUCUACGUGACAUAUUCUUUACUACUUGGAUAACCGUGGUAAUUCUAGAGCUAAUACAUGCAAAAAAGCCCUGACUUCGGAAGGGGUGCACUUAUUAGAUAAAGCCAACGCUGGGUAAAACCAGUUUCCCUUGGUGAUUCAUAAUAAUUAAGCGGAUCGCAUGGCCUUGUGCUGGCGACGGUCCACUCGAUUUUCUGCCCUAUCAUGGUUGAGAUUGUAAGAUAGAGGCUUACAAUGCCUACAACGGGUAACGGGGAAU
rnacentral:rRNA from 1 species